AUGAACGCUGGCGGCGUGCCUAAUACAUGCAAGUCGAGCGAACGGACGAGAAGCUUGCUUCUCUGAUGUUAGCGGCGGACGGGUGAGUAACACGUGGAUAACCUACCUAUAAGACUGGGAUAACUUCGGGAAACCGGAGCUAAUACCGGAUAAUAUUUUGAACCGCAUGGUUCAAAAGUGAAAGACGGUCUUGCUGUCACUUAUAGAUGGAUCCGCGCUGCAUUAGCUAGUUGGUAAGGUAACGGCUUACCAAGACAACGAUGCAUAGCCGACCUGAGAGGGUGAUCGGCCACACUGGAACUGAGACACGGUCCAGACUCCUACGGGAGGCAGCAGUAGGGAAUCUUCCGCAAUGGGCGAAAGCCUGACGGAGCAACGCCGCGUGAGUGAUGAAGGUCUUCGGAUCGUAAAACUCUGUUAUUAGGGAAGAACAUAUGUGUAAGUAACUGUGCACAUCUUGACGGUACCUAAUCAGAAAGCCACGGCUAACUACGUG
rnacentral:rRNA from 1 species